AGUAAGAUGUAAACUUGCAAAUAUGUCUAUCCAUUGGCAGCUGUGGUAUGUCAAUCUGAACUCCAUAGCAGCAUGCUACUGAAUUUCCAAGAAAUUACAGUCUCUAUCUUUUUAGACAUAUAUGCUCAAAUCUCUGGUCGAGGCCGCAGCUCAAGCAUGAGUCCUAUCAAGGUCCUCGGAUCCAAGAACUUGCUUAUUAAUCUAGAAGAUUUCAACCUCCGGUUCUAAUGCCCUAUUCAUAAAGAUCAUCCGGGUUCUCUGCCUGGAUGCAAAACAAGGUUCAUGAAAUACAAGACGGAUUUAUUUGGUGGAUAUGCAGGCUUCUGUCCGAGCAUGCCAUGAAUUGGAGGGUAUGCAUGAACAGUAAAAGAGAAUAGAAAUAUGCACCAAGGGGAAGGACGGAAAAAAAAAGCAAGUUUACUGCAGAUAAGUUCUCAGUGGGAUGGGUAUGUGAAGGAUAAUGCGAUUGAAAAAUGCAUCAUGGCCGCUCCAUUGCCAACGACGUGGUGGUAGUGGGAGGUUUCGUGGAACAUGGAAGCACCAUAAGUCUAUAGUGCAGGAGACGACUGAAGGGAGCAAUAAAAGAAGAGCCACAUGCACGCCAGCGAGUAUUCGAGGCGGGCACGACAAGAAUGAUGCUAUCGACGUUGCCAGAAGGGAGCAAUAAAAGAAGAGCCACUUGCACGCCAGCGAGCAUUCGAAGCGGGCACGACAAGAAUGAUGCUAUCGACGUUAACUCUAGGUUAAAUUACUCGGCAAUCUGACAGCAAAGGUGAAAGCUUCUCCUUCUAUAUUUUAAUAAGUGGUAGAGAUAAAGUCUGAACCCAAACAAAGCCAAGAUAUUUAAACCUCUAGUUGGCCCUGAUAAGAUCAUCUAACACGUCGUAGCUGAACCGCUGAAGCCUGUGAGGUAUGCGCUGAGUGGGCAGCAGGUGCCCUAUUACAUAUGAUUCGAAUAAUUCCACGUGAGCUUAGUAUUUCUGUACACCUAUAAACCCUACGUCGUAUGUGUGAGUGCGUUUGUCAUCGUUCAUGUUUCUUUACUGUUUUCGAGCUCAUCUCCACGAUCAGGUACAUCACUCAACUAUAACAAACUCUAAUAUGAUGUUGAUGAUGUUGUCGUUGUAACAUUUUAAUAUCAAUCUGUGUGUAAUUUGUUACUGUACUCUCUUUUUACACAUUUUUUUCCCUUUCUGUAUACUGCCCUCCAAAAGCUGUCUUUCGUUGUGCCGUUAUUGUAUUUUUUUUUGAUAAAAACGCCGUUAUUGUUAUUUGCUCUGCCGUUCUGGUACUAUACGGCUCUGAUAUCAUCAGGCUAUACUUUGGGUAUCCCUGUCCACACAGCCGGCUGCUAUCAGCGUCCCACCAGCAGCAGCAGUGACCACAGGGACCGGGCAUAGGCAUAGGAUGCCUUGUCGUCCAGUGUAUACAAAGGAAGUCUACAGAAAAACUUUAUUUUUCGUCGAGCACUUAUUCGACGACUUGACAUUUCAUGUAUAUCGCUUUCUUCAGUACCGUGGAAUCGCGACAUCGCGUAAUGGGGUACGCCUGCCAUUGACAAAGACUUGAAAGGUAAAGCAGACGUUUCCUCUUGUUAGUUGUGAAUAAAGCUACUACUUUUCUCUGUACAGCAGGUUGCAUUGCUUGAGCUCCACAAAUAUGGUCUUGUUUGGAUCCAUACAUCUAAAAUUUUUAACUGGCUAUUUAGUCUCUUUUUUAGCUAGCUAAAAAUCACCUAGCUAAAUUUUAGUUAAAUUUUAGUUAAAGGUGUUUGGAUCCACCAGCUAAAUGAGAUAUUUAUCUAUCCUACCCCUCAUCCCUCUUCCCUCUCCUUAAUCCUUAUCUUCCUUUUGCACCUCGCCGCCCCAUGGAUGCCACCCAAGCCCCCGCCCGAGUCCUUGUCCCUCCCCGUCUUCCCGGACGCCCCUUGGUCACCGCCCUAGAUCUGGCCAGCCUCGUUCCGCGCUGCCGGCCUUGUCCCACCGUGGCCGUCUGCCACCUCCUCGAGCGCCACCAUCCCCACCUUCCCCAGCACAGCCGGUCCCUGAAGUACUACUACUCCGGCGCCACGAGCGGGGUCCUCUAGUAGCCGGCCGCCGGGGGUGGGUGGAGGAAGCAAACGGGAUCUGGUGGAACCGAAGGCACCGUCGGAGCCAGCAGCUGCAAGCAGUAGUGGAGCCGCGAGCCGGCGGCGUCCACAACCACGGCGAAGAGCUCGUGUAGGUAGGCGGCAGCUUCCUAGCCCCGCCUCCGCCGCUCGCCAGCUGCUUCAGCGGCUUCCUAGACCCAGACAAGUUCCAGCGUAGCCACGGUGUCGGCCCCGAGCUCCGACGAGCGACGGCCCCCAGGAAGCAACACAGUGAGCAUGAGAGCGGCGGCAUGUGUGGUUGGCGGCACACGGGGAGCAGCGGGCAGGGCGGACCGACAGCAAGCGGAGACCGGACCCAGGAGAAGAGCGGCGCGGGAGGGGAAUGAGGGGAUUUCCCGAUACGAUAGGUGGAGGGGCACGAUAGUCUUUUACCAGAUUUAGCUGGUUUAGCUGGGUUCAACCAGUUGCAGCUAAAGUUUUGCAGUCUCCUGUUUGGAUCUAAAGAAGUCAAAUUUAGCCGGCUAAACUUUAUAUGAUGACCUAUGUCAUCUAGAAUCAGUCCAUCCGGAAAAGUAAGUUCUUUCUUUUCUGCACAAAUCGUCCGGCUCUGUUUACAAACCUACUAUAUCUAUAAAUAUAGAAUCUGAAACGUUAUUUCCUACUAGAUUCAAAGUGACCUAAUCAAGUUAGAGUAUUGACCUUUUGCGCCUAACUUGUAUAGCUGGUAUCUACUUUUCUUGUCAUAUUGUUUUUAACUUUACGCAAUUUCCAACACAAGACUUCCACUUGCCGCCACCGCCACAUGAUUUGAAUGGUAUUUGAACGCGCCAAGCGGCCAACCGUUUGGCGAAUUAGUUGGCCAUUAUUUUUGUCCUACUGAUAUUGAAUGUAAGGUGGACCAGCGCGCAUUGAAACAGUUGAACUAGACCACCCAGUCAUCUCUUCCAUCACCUACCGGAAAGGUACACGAACCCGUUCACCAAACAAUCAAGUAGAGGUUGUAUUCAUCAAUUUGAAUCGCGGUUUGAGCUAUUCCAAAAUUGCGACUGUCCUUGGUGCGUCAACUCUACGCAAGUCAGCCACAUUUGUCCUCACUUAUGACCAGUUUUUUUAUAUUAACUUUUUUAAUCUAAUUUUUUUAAAAAGCUAAUUCCAAACCAAUAUUAUAAGUAGUCAUUUUUAUCAUUCAAAUAAUGUAGUGCGAUCGGCCUUUCACACUAGCGUAGCACGCACGGGAGGACGACCUUGACGCUGAUGUGGCCAGGCUGAGUCGCGCCACAUGCUUUCAGUCACGUCAGGGCUCGUGGCGCGAUUCAGCCUUAUACAGGCAUGCAUCGGGGCUCCUUUCUUUCUUCCUUCUCACUUCCUUCCUUCCCUUUCUAACCCUAGCCUGAGCUCAUCUUUCCUCUAUGGCGCGGCCCCUCCUUAUCCUCUAGAUCCACUUGGUUCCUCACCCGAUUUGAAGGGGAAACAAAUAAAAAUUGCUCCGGAAGUAGCACUGUUCAUGAUAAUGGAGAUGUUUGCAAGAAUGAGGCAACAAGUAGCAAGAUUUGGUAGUACUCCAACAUUUUGUUACAUAAUAGGCCGAGUAAAUUCACUGUUCAAAGUUGGAAAUGAGGAAGGAGAGAUAAGAAUUAGUGGAAGGUUUGAUGUCGGUGAUAAAAGAUCUCACUAUGUGUUGAUGCCACUUGUAUGUGAUGAUGAUUGGUUAUUUUACAAAGAGUUGGUGAAAAAUUCUCAAGUUGCUUGAGCUGA